rnacentral:lncRNA from 1 species
CUCAGAUAUAACUUAAUAUUUUGAUUAAAUCACAUUUUAAAAUAGAAUAUAAGCUGCAACAGACUUCCACAAGGCAAUAAAAAUAAGUAUAUUUCUCUUUCAUUUUUCUCCUUGUGGAGAUCUGAAGAGCAGUACAGACUAAGCGAAGGAGAAAAGAAUGAGGAGCAGGAAGAGGAGAAAAGAAAGACCACCAUGUAUGCAGAGUGCCCAAAGAGAGCCAUUCCUGUGCUUUUUCUGCAACAGCAUCUUCCUUGGGAAACAGCUGAAUGUGGCUACUGCUUCCACUUGGAAAAUUAGAGUACAGCAACCAUGCUAUUAGAAAUCUUGUGCUCUUUGAUGUUGGCGUUUGGUAUUUUUGGCUAAAAAUUAAGCUGAGAUCGUUUAAACAUGUCUGACACAUGGACUGGGCCUGUAUCUUAAUGAAUUUCAAGCCAGAAAUCUUGCCUCAGACUUUACAAUAUGCAUUAUAUUGACAAAUGGAGGAUAACUGAGCCAUUAUUGAACAAGUUUUCCCCAGAAGUUUCAGCCCCCGGGAUCAGAACACAAAAAAAUCACUGAUGAAGUUGAAAAGGAACCAGGAAGACCCCUGUGCUGGGAGGAGGUACAAGGAUCGUGCUAUUGGAAUUGGGGCUCAAGUCAAGGGCGUGGCACAAGAAGUAUUUCCAGCACAUCCAGACAUAAGUGACAAGUACGUCAUGAUGCCGAUGGCCUCACUGCAGUGUUGUCAGAAACCUUGGCUGAAAGACGCUGUGGAAAUACAAUAA